rnacentral:rRNA from 1 species
AACGUAGGGGGCCAGCGUUGCUCGGAAUUACUGGGCGUAAAGAGCGCGUAGGCGGCGCGGUACGACCGCUGUGAAAGCCCCCAGCUCAACUGGGGAGGGUCAGCGGUAACGGCCGUGCUUUGAGUGCAGGAGAGGGAAGUGGAACUCCGGGAGUAGCGGUGAAAUGCGUAGAGACCCGGAGGAACACCAGUGGCGAAGGCGGCUUCCUGGUCUGCGACUGACGCUGUGGCGCGAAAGCUAGGGGAGCAAACGGG